UACAGAGGUCUCAAGCGUUGUUCGGAUUCAUUGGGCGUAAAGGGUGCGUAGGCGGCGCGGUAAGUCGGGGUGUGAAAUCUCGGAGCUUAACUCCGAAACUGCAUUCGAUACUGGCGUGCUUGAGGACUGGAGAGGAGACUGGAAUUCAUGGUGUAGCAGUGAAAUGCGUAGAGAUCAUGAGGAAGACCAGUGGCGAAGGCGGGUCUCUGGACAGUUCCUGACACUGAGACACGAAGGCCAGGGGAGCAAACGGG
rnacentral:rRNA from 1 species